ACGCUUUCUCUUUAAUAGUUAAAUACUAGCCCUUCUUAGGUAUGGGUCUCACAUCUACAAUCAUUUCAUGAUCAAUUACAACAACAAAUACAUUGGAAUUACAUAAUUCAAAGGCAAAGGUAGAGGAAAUGGAAAACUAGCAAGUGACAAGAAUGGCCUGUGACAUGUCAUAUGAGGACUCCACAGUUGUUAUAAUUCAAGCGAUUAUGGUUAUAACGAUGGAAG